GAUGAACGCUGACAGAAUGCUUAACACAUCAGCAAUUGAUUGGUGGCGGACGGGUGAGUAACGCGUAAAGAACUUGCCUCCCAGCUAGGGACAACAUUUGGAAACGAAUGCUAAUACCUAAUACUGUGAGAGAGAUUUGCGUCCCAUUAGCUAGUUGGUGAGGUAACGGCUCACCAAGGCGAUGAUGGGUAGCCGGCCUGAGAGGGUAAUCGGACACAAGGGGACUGAGACACGGCACUUACUCCUACGGGAGGCAGCAGUUAUGUAUAUUGGACAAUGGACCAAAGUCUGAUCCAGAAAUUCGGGGUGCACGAUGAAGUUUUCGGAAUGUAAAGUGCUUUCAGUUGAGAAGCGGUACCAACAGAAGAAGUGACGGCUAAAUACGUGCCAGCAGCCGCGGUAAUAC
rnacentral:rRNA from 1 species